rnacentral:rRNA from 1 species
AACAAACGCUGGCGGCGUGCCUAAUACAUGCAAGUCGAACGGGGAAAGCUUUCGGGUGAGUACUAGUGGCGCACGGGUGAGUAACGCGUGGAUAAUCUGCCUUGAAGAGGGGGAUAACCAGUCGAAAGAUUGGCUAAUACCGCAUAAGACCACAGGAACUGAGGUUCUAGAGGUCAAAGGUUUUUCGCUUCAAGAUGAGUCCGCGUAAGAUUAGCUAGUUGGUGAGGUAACGGCUCACCAAGGCGACGAUCUUUAACUGGUCUGAGAGGAUUAUCAGUCACACUGGAACUGAGAGACCGUCCAGACUCCUCCGGGAGGCAGCAGUAGGGAAUAUUGCACAAUGGAGGAAACUCUGAUGCAGCGACGCCGCGUGAGUGAUGAAGGCCUUCGGGUCGUAAAGCUCUGUCGCAGGGGAAUAACACAAUGAAGGUACCCUGUAAGAAAGGAUCGGCUAACUUCGUGCCAGCCGCCGCAGUAACAC